rnacentral:tRNA from 1 species
GCUGGUAUGGCUCAGUAGGUAGAGCACGUCAUUGGUAAUGACGAGGUCACCGGUCCGAAUCCGGUUACCAGCUCCA